rnacentral:rRNA from 1 species
AUUGAACGCUGGCGGCAGGCCUAACACAUGCAAGUCGAGCGAGAGGCGGACGGGUGAGUAAUGUAUGGGGACUGCCCGAUAGAGGGGGAUAACUACUGGAAACGGUAGCUAAUACAGCACACUAUAGGAUAACCCACAUGGGAUUAGCUAGUAGGUGAGGGAAUGGCUCACCUAGACGACGAUCCCUAGCUGGUCUGAGAGGAGGAUCAGCCACACUGGGACUGAGACACGGCCCAGACUCCUACGGAGGCAGCAGUGGGGAAUAUUGCACAAUGGGCGCAAGCCUGAUGCAGCCAUGCCGCGUGUAUGAAGAAGGCCUUCGGGUUGUAAAGUACUUUCAGUCGGGAGGCGUUACCGUCAGAAGAAGCACCGGCUAACUCCGUGCCAGCAGCCGCGGUAAUUC